rnacentral:rRNA from 1 species
GAUGAACGCUGGCGGCGUGCCUAAUACAUGCAAGUCGAGCGAACAGACCAGGAGCUUGCUCCUCUGACGUUAGCGGCGGACGGGUGAGUAACACGUGCAUAACCUACCUAUUAUACUGGGAUAACUUCGGGAAACCGGAGCUAAUACCGGAUAAUAUAUUCCACCGCCUUGUUCAAUAGUGAAAUACGGUUUUGCUGUCACUUAUAGAUGGAUCCGCGCCGCAUUAGCUAGUUGGUAAGGUAACGGCUUACCAAGGCAACGAUGCGUAGCCGACCUGAGAGGGUGAUCGGCCACACUGGAACUGAGACACGGUCCAGACUCCUACGAGAGGCAGCACCAGGCAAGAUGCCGCUACGAGCGAGAGUCUGAUCCUGCAUCAGCGUGGAAGUAAAGGAAAAGUUCGAGUUGGAUAAAGGUAUUAUAAGGCAAGAACAAAUAUAGAGGUAGGGGUUGUUAGAGUGACGGUACCAAGAAAUAAUGACACGGCUAACUUCGGU